ensembl:lncRNA
AGGAGCGGCGGUGUUUCUGUUGAAGGCGCGGAUGCUGGAGCCGACAGAAACAGACACAAGCAGAGUACAAAAAGCACAUGAAUAAAAUACAGUUGUGUUGAUAUCAUGCACGACAACCGCUGGGAGGGAGAGCGGGAGGAUGAGGCCCGAGAGAAGAGGGACAAACCCAAGAGAGAGGACGAGGAGGAGAGGAGGGAGGUGAAGGAGGAGGAGAAGAGGCCCAAAGCGGCCCCGCCACAGAAGGAAGCCAGGCGGGGCGAGGCGGAGGAAGACGAGGACGAGUGGGAGGACGCCAGCGAUGGGGAGGACGGGGGCUCGGACGACGACGAAGGAGGAAGCAGCGAGGAGGGCGACCAGGAGGAGAAGAGGGACGCGGGGAAGGAGGAGACCGCCGCUGCCGCCGCCGC